UACGUAGGCAGCGAGCGUUGUUCGGAGUUACUGGGCGUAAAGCGUGCGUAGGCGGUGUCUUAAGUUUGUUGUGAAAUCUCCCGGCUUAACCGGGAGGGUGCGGCGAAUACUGAGAUGCUGGAGUGCCGGAGAGGUAAGCGGAAUUCCUGGUGUAGCGGUGAAAUGCGUAGAUAUCAGGAGGAACACCUGCGGUGUAGACGGCUUACUGGACCAUAACUGACGCUGAGGCACGAAAGCGUGGGUAGCAAACAGG
rnacentral:rRNA from 1 species